rnacentral:tRNA from 1 species
CAGAGAAUAGUUUAUAAAAAUAUUAAUUUUGGAGAUUAAAGAUGAAUUAAUUUCUUCUCUGA